rnacentral:lncRNA from 1 species
AACUUUCUGUACUGGAUAAUCAGUGAUCCAGAAAGUGUAAAACACUCCCAUCCUGGUGAACCGUUUUAUUGGUUCCAGUUCAUAAGGUUCUAAACUACACCAAUCCUCAAUCUCCUAGAGAAACAGGAGUUUAAUGUCUUUGAAUGGGUUUAAUAUCAAUCAGUUUAUUCACUGCCUAUGUCAAAGUUGUAGAGAAGGCUUCCCAGAAAAAAUCUUGAAGAGUUUGGAAGGAAAAAAAAAAUCCUUCCUUGGCUUUUCAAAAUUAAGGGGAGGUGGAGAGGAAAAAGAAGGGUUUUCAAGUAUGCAAAGCUGGAGGAGGAGGGAAAAAGUAAGACAAAACAUUCAAAGGAUAAGGAAGAAAAUGGGACAGUAUAAGAGAUGGCAGGAAGAUAAGGAAGAUAAGCAUAUCACGAAAGAACUAAUGGAAGUGAUCUGUACCCUCAAACAACUCUACACUUGUAAAGCUCUUGCAGAAGCCUUGGCUUCCAACUUGUCCUAAAUCUCAGUGGCUUCCUACAGGCAACUGCCUCAGGAUGAUCACCUGCUGAUACUCACCGCAGACAGGCAGAACUGUGCCUUCUACAGCCUUGGAAAGCAGCUCAAGCCAACAAUAUCACACGACCUUUCCCCAAAUAUGGCCCAAGCUUCUACUUUGGGGAGAUUAAGAUUUAUCUAGAAGAAAUGCAUAUGCAAAGACCAAGAAAGAAGAAAUAUUCAACUUCUGACAUUCGGAAAAUAAGAUACUGCAUCAAAACAAGAGCUCUGCAAAUCAAAUUAUGUUGAGAACAGAUUGCAUAAAACUUUUACCCCUUUAUCCUCUCUUUCCCAUCUCUGCCGAGCUAAAUUUUAUUAGUUAUACAUAAAGACGACCUAGGAGAAAGAAGAAGAGCAUUCUGCCCAUUUUUGAUAUUAGAAUAGUUGUGAGGAAAAUAAAAGAGAAGAAAGGAAAGAAACAUAAGUAGACACGUGUCAACUCUCCACUUCUCAACAGUCCCACCCUACUCACCGGAGCUCCAUUUUCCAUUGGAGAGUCUUAGGCUACCCCUAACACUGGGGGUGGAGUCACAUCAAUGUAAACCACAAUGUGGUCAGGCAGAGGAGAUACAGAGUUUUAGCAUUCCUGAACAGUGCCAGAUUACUGUGCAGGGUAGAACCAACCCAGAUCUAACUAAAAAUCUUGCCAGGAAGCUUCUCAGAGGGAAAUCACUGCCAUAAAUUGAGGUAGCUUUAGAAUAAGGUUUGCAAGGUGGAAUGUUCAGGCCAAUACCAAAUGGGAGUCACAGCCAGAUGUUCAAGGUUUCUAUGGUCCCGCAACAGCCAAAGACAGGCUUGGAAUCAGCCAGGGGGUACUCAAUGAGAGAAAUGAAGAAGAACUGACCAUGAGUUCAUCACUUGCAACCAUGAGCACUGGAGGUCAAUACGGCAUUCAGCAACUAGGAGAACAAGAAACGAUGCCCCAGAGAGAAGGGUGAGGAACAGUGAGCACAAGGUCAAUACUCUGCACUCCACACCUCUGUCCUGCCCACUAUCCCACAUACCUCCCCAUCUUGGAGAAGAGCUACAAAAAAGCAUGAGAUAACUGAGAGAUGAGCAACAUUCCCUAGAGAGAAGAAUUAUUACCUGAAGAGAUUAUGUAAAUUAUAGACUCAGUCUACUUUUAAUCCAGACUGAUUUAACAGUGACUUUUUUUCCCUAGGAAGCAAUGAAUAAAUGAGCCUUAUUAGAAAGUCCAGAUCAAUUAUACACAAAAUAAUACACUUUUCUCUGUGCAUCUAAAUUGUAACCUAAGUGAAUUUUGUGACCCCAUGAAACAUUUUCCUCUAAUUCUAUCAAAACUUCCACUAAGAUACUCCAUAUGGUAUCACUUCUAAGUCUUUGCUUAUGUCCUCCAUGCAAUGUACUUAAGUAAACUCUACCAUCCCUUAAAGUUCAGCAAAAAUGCCACAUUCACCACAACGCCUUCUCUAUUUUUACCUUAUUCAUCUCUCUCUUCAUUGACCUCCCUGGACAAAGAUAAUUUUAAGCUAGCCUGGACUCCUGGGAUGACAAAGAUCCCUAAAAAACAAAACAAACAUUGAGGAGUUUCCCAGAGGCAGAGCAGUUUGCUUAGCUCCCGGUGGAUGUGGAAGCUCUUGGAGCCUACCCAGGCCUCUCGGAAGCCCUGCUGUCAAUGGGAACAGUGCUGCUGUCACAGCCCUACGCCAGACUCCUCUCAACACAAGUGCUUAGAUUUCAGCUAGAACCCAUGACCUGGAGAAAGCAAGCAGUCAAACACCCAGUAAAUGCCAUGUCUACAGCACUUGUCUUUCACCACAACGGUGGUAAGAAACUACUACAACUAAAUACAAAACACUUCUUGCCCCCAGGGAAACUAUUCCUCUCAGCUAAAAAUAAACAAAAUAACCC